rnacentral:rRNA from 1 species
AAUGGGCGAAAGCCUGAUCCAGCCAUGCCGCGUGAGUGAUGAAGGCCUUAGGGUUGUAAAGCUCUUUCGAUGGUGAAGAUAAUGACGGUAACCAUAGAAGAAGCCCCGGCUAACUUCGUGCCAGCAGCCGCGGUAAUACGAAGGGGGCUAGCGUUGUUCGGAAUCACUGGGCGUAAAGCGCGCGUAGGCGGAUAUGCAAGUCAGAGGUGAAAGCCCAGGGCCUAACCUUGGAACUGCCUUUGAAACUGCAUAUCUAGAGACUCGGAGGGGGUAGUGGAAUUCCAAAUGUAGGGGUGAAAUCCGUAGAUAUUUGGAGGAACACCGGUGGCGAAGGCGGCUACCUGGACGAGUACUGACGCUGAGGUGCGAAAGCGUGGGGAUCAAA